GGAUGUGAGGGCGAUCUGGCUGUGACAUCUGUUACCCCAUUGAUUGCCAGGGUUGAUUCGGCUGAUCUGGCUGGCUAGGCAGGUGUCCCCUUCCUCCCUCACCGCUCCAUGUGCGCCCGUCCUGAAGCUGCGUGCUGAGUGGAAGAGGACGACCAUUCUGAUAGAGGAGGACCAUUCUUUGGUCAAGGAUAUAGGAGUAGUGGUGCUCCCCUGCUAGAACCUCCAAACAAGCUCUCCAGAAAUGCAUUAGGGUAGGGGGGAGAGGGGUGGGCAGGGGGUAGUGGUGAGAGGUGGCCCAAACAAUGUAUUCAUAUAUGAAUAAAUAUAAAAACAAUU
rnacentral:snRNA from 1 species